CCAGCCCCUGCUUUAUAGCCUCCAUGAGUUGACCUGAGAGUUCCAGGUCCAACUCAUCCCCCUGGUGAAGUGGCCUGUAGUAGAUGCCCACUAUCAAGUCCCUUUCUCCA